UACGUAGGGGGCUAGCGUUGUCCGGAAUCAUUGGGCGUAAAGCGCGUGUAGGCGGCCGUGCAGGUCCGGUGUGAAAACUCGAGGCUCAACCUCGAGAGGUCAUCGGAAACCGUACGGCUAGAGUCCGGAAGAGGAGAGUGGAAUUCCUGGUGUAGCGGUGAAAUGCGCAGAUAUCAGGAAGAACACCUAUGGCGAAGGCAGCCCCCUGGGAUGUGACUGACGCUCAUGUACGAAAGCGUGGGGAGCAAACAGG
rnacentral:rRNA from 1 species